GACGUAGGGUGCGAGCGUUGUCCGGAUUUAUUGGGCGUAAAGAGCUCGUAGGCGGUUUGUCGCGUCUGCUGUGAAAACCUAAGGCUCAACCUUGGGCUUGCAGUGGGUACGGGCAGACUAGAGUGCGGUAGGGGGUGACUGGAAUUCCUGGUGUAGCGGUGGAAUGCGCAGAUAUCAGGAGGAACACCGAUGGCGAAGGCAGGUCACUGGGCCGCAACUGACGCUGAGGAGCGAAAGCAUGGGGAGCGAACAGG
rnacentral:rRNA from 1 species